rnacentral:tRNA from 1 species
GCGGAUGUAGUUUAGUGGUAGAACUUCAGCCUUCCAAGCUGAUCGUGUCGGUUCGAUCCAUCAUCCGCUCCA